GAUAUACUUAAUUGCUAAGCAAAACGUCGUCGUCUUCAGAUUGAAGUUUGCUCCAGUACAGAAGAAGAGGGAGAGAACGCACACAGCUUGAGGCACGCAGUCAUGCAUGUUCAAACAUGCAUGCAUGCACGCGCACAGCUUCGAGGCGUGCACGCACGUUAUGUUCGACGAUAUGCAGAGAUCUUUUACUAUUAUGUUGUGUUAACUUCAGUGAGAUCAGAUAUAUCACUCGAAGGAAGAGAGUAUACGACUGCAUGAUAUGUAUUUGUGCUCUUUUGUCGUACGUGUAAGUUAUCGUAUUGGCAGUUCUGUAUACCUGGGACGACGUUUUUGCUUUGUCAAAAAUAUAUAUACUUUUAUCGAAUAAAAAAUACGUUACAUAAUUCUAAAAACUUAUAAUUGAAGUUAUAAAAUCGAGAUACGUAGAUUUUAGUUAAAAUUUAAUUUUGUAUUACGAAUUAAAGGUAUAGUCUUGUAGUUGUAAAAGAAGAGGAGCGCAAAAAUAUAAAAUAAGAACUUUUUAGGAGUUUUGACACAAUGUAACCAUUUACGAACCCUGUCCGUCUCGGUUCGGUUCGGCCCACGCAUAGCCAAACUCGUCCGUUGAUGACAUCAUCGAUUUCGUACGCUUACGCAGAACAACCGGAGAAGCGGAGGGGACGACCAACGGCGUUGGCAGUUCUCAUACGAAGAUUCCACUCUUCAGCCAUUUGAGGAAGGCAACGAUCCGGUCAUCCAUUCCUUUUGGAUUUCUAGUGUGGCUCAAAACAGCUAAACAAGUUGAAAAGCAGACACUAGUCACGUCAGUAAUAUUUUUGCAGAAUUCACCAGGAAUCAAAUCCGAUGGUGGAGCAGGCGAUGACCAGAACUGGGCGUGCUUCACCUUGGCUAUGCUGUUGAGGACUCCCAGCGGCGUCACGUCGCCCACCACCGUCACCUUCUUCGACGCGAAGUCGAUCUCAAAAGAUGUAACUCCUAAUGAUGAACCCAAAACAGAAGCGAAGGCAGCGGCGGAAACAGAGCAGGCCUUUGACCCAGCCGGUUCGCUCGUCAACGCUUUCAGCGUCGGCGGGUCUAGUGACACAAGAGGAGCCAACUCCCGCCCUCCUUCCUCUAAGUAAGCGCCGUCGACAAUG